rnacentral:rRNA from 1 species
UGGGGAAUAUUGCACAAUGGGCGCAAGCCUGAUGCAGCCAUGCCGCGUGUGUGAAGAAGGCCUUCGGGUUGUAAAGCACUUUCAGCGAGGAGGAAGGUGGUGAACUUAAUACGUUCAUCAAUUGACGUUACUCGCAGAAGAAGCACCGGCUAACUCCGUGCCAGCAGCCGCGGUAAUACGGAGGGUGCAAGCGUUAAUCGGAAUUACUGGGCGUAAAGCGCACGCAGGCGGUUUGUUAAGUCAGAUGUGAAAUCCCCGGGCUCAACCUGGGAACUGCAUUUGAAACUGGCAAGCUAGAGUCUCGUAGAGGGGGGUAGAAUUCCAGGUGUAGCGGUGAAAUGCGUAGAGAUCUGGAGGAAUACCGGUGGCGAAGGCGGCCCCCUGGANGAAGACUGACGCUCAGGUGCGAAAAGCGUGGGGAGCAAACAGAUUAGAUACCCUGGU